CCGAGCUUGACUGCGAGAAGUUUGGACUCAAGAUAUGCGAAUUGUAAAGAGUACAACAAGAUAUCCCUGUGUCCACUGUCCAGCAUCUGAUUGUGUACCAGAACACAACACAGUGUAGUUGGACCUGCAGACCAUUCCGGCUACAGAGGUCUGCUGCGCCUCAAAAGGACAGACGCUCCUUUGCUUUUCUGCAGCGGCUUGUCAACAUGACUCUCUGUCCAGCGGAGCAGAAAAAGGGGUCCAGUCCAUGUCCCGUCUGACUGGCAUGUCGCUCACAUUGUCCGGAUGAAGGGAGCGAGAAGGGACUUAUACUUGUAAAUACCAAGCAGACAUCCAUGUGGUACAUGGAGCGAUAUUUCAGAAGGCAGAGUAGAAGGCUGCUGCGACCAUCCGCAGGUCAGGCCACUUAUGAUCAUACUGCCAGCGUCUUGAGGGCUCACCUGCUUUACAAAAUGUUGAUAUAAUGAAACCACAGCUGGGUACAUUAUCAAAACUACUAAAAUGGUGAGAGCCAUAACAUACAUUUUAUUUUGUAUCCUGAUUUUAAUAGUUUUAUUAUGCGUCUGUGCCAACAACAGCCAGGUCCAGAUUCAUUACAUUUAUCCCAUUCAUGCUGUUCUUUUUAAAGGAAAUAUUUCAGUAAAACCUGAGGGUAUUUCUUCAAAUUUGGUGCAAAUGUUCACAUAGACUCAAGGAUGGACUGAUUAAAUUUUGGUGUUCAAAGGUCAAGGUCACUGUGUCCACUCGAAACGUGUUUGGCCAUAAAUCACACACUAACUAGUGGAGGCAUACAACCAUGAGGUGGUAAUUCUAGUUCAACUUUUCACAACCCUGUUGUUGCUGAAUCUUACUUUGGGCUCUGACUGAGAUCGAGUGAUUACAUAUAAAAUCAAUAGAAAAGUGUAAUUGGAUACAAAUUGGCCAAGGAUAGCGUGGACUAAAGCAAAUAUGCAUUUGUGCAAGUUCAAAAUGUUUCAACUUGAGCAACAAAUUUGCAUGCAUCCAUAGUCUUUAUGGAUCUGCUACCUAACUGUAGAGUGGAAAGAGGCUAGAGGAAAAUAAUAGAAAGAACUGGAGUUUCUGGAGCCGAAAACAAACACUAAGUCACGCUUCCAUAAACACGGUCAGUAUGUCUUUACUAGCUAGCUUAAACUUAAUGUCUGUGCACUCAGUACAUCAGAUUCUCAAACUAUAACUAUUCAGUGGUUUGUUUGUAUACAUUUUUUUUUUUUUUUUUUUUUUUUUACCAAAAUGUGAUUAAAUACAUGUUUGUUGGUAGCAUGGCAGACUAGCAUUUGUUGUAAAGAGCUAACCAUUCUAGCAACAAAAGAAGCUGUGUAUUUCGCCAACUUUAGUGAGAAUGUCAGAUUUUGAAUAUCAGUGAAUGUAGUGAGUACACAAAGGCUCAGUGAUGAUACUGCAGUAGUUGGGUGUGAUGUCUCUGUGACAUUUUGGUCAUUUUUUUCACUCUAAAGUUGGUUCAACAUUAGAAUUGGAACUGCUGUGAAUCCAAGCAGAAAACAGCUGGUACCCUCUGCAAAUGAGCAAGAUACACACUUUUCAGAGCUGUGUACCUUUCAGGCCCUCUGGCAGUGAGUGCUCUUACUCAAAGGAUGGAUUUUCUGUGGAGUUUUACUCCAAGUUCCUGGUGCAAAGACAAAACAACUUUAAAAUUUUAAGUUUUGAAUUCUAUUAUUGUGACUACACAAUAUGUACAGUCAUGGCAAUAUCUGCCCAGUGUUUUCAGAUUUUGCAGAAGAAAUGUCCAUUUGAACAGAUGUUUUGAGGCACCACAUGCUCCUCUGCAGCAUGUAGCAGGUGGCUGGGAACAGGAGGAGUGGAGUUAGGCGUCCACACGGCGGUGGCCUGUCUUAGUUUGAUAUAAGCUAACAAAUCACAUCCCUGAGAUGUCCAUUUAUUGUAAUGCCCAUGCUUAUAAAUGUGGUGGGUCCUAAUUUGCUUUUUUCCCCCCAGUGAUUUGACAAAUGUUGCAAUUAAGUGUAAGAAAUUCUCCACCUGUUCCAGUAAAACCAUGUGGAUGUGAAAUGUUGUGUACAGGAAUAAUUAAAAACACAGAAAAAUAGCUGCAAUAUACAAUAAUAACUUUUGGAAUGUAAAAAUAUGCAUACUACCUGUAGUAUGAGUUUGAUUUCUAAGUUCUCUGUCUUAGGUUCAAACCACUGUGUCCCUGCCAAAGUGUCCUUGAUCAAGACAGUGAAUCCCACCAGAUGACAUUUUAUGGAUAGCACUUUAAAUUCCGUUGUACUGGCUUUACCUUGUGCAAUGACAAUAAAAGGAUUCUAUCUAUUCUAUCUAUGGCUUUGUAGUUGACCCAGACUUUUGACCUCCCUCUCUAGAGUUUCCCUAUCUAAACUUGAGCUACAAG